rnacentral:rRNA from 1 species
AUACGUAGGUGACAAGCGUUAUCCGGAUUUACUGGGCGUAAAGGGCGUGUAGGCGGUCUUGCAAGUCAGAAGUGAAAUUCCUGAGCUCAACUCGGGCGCUGCUUCUGAAACUGCAGGACUUGAGUGCUGGAGGGGAUAGCGGAAUUCCUAGUGGAGCGGUAAAAUGCGCAGAUAUUAGGAAGAACACCGGUGGCGAAGGCGGCUAUCUGGACAGUAACUGACGCUGAGGCGCGAAAGCGUGGGGAGCAAACAGGAUUAGAUACCCUGGUAGUCCACACUGUAAACGAUGAAUGCUAGGUGUAGGGGGUAUCGACCCCUUCUGUGCCGCAGUUAACACAAUAAGCAUUCCGCCUGGGGAGUACGGCCGCAAGGUUGAAACUCAAAUGAAUUGGCGGGG